CCUACGGGAGGCAGCAGUGGGGAAUAUUGGGCAAUGGAGGAAACUCUGACCCAGCGACGCCGCGUGCGGGAUGAAGGCCUUCGGGUUGUAAACCGCUUUCAGCAGGGAAGAAGCGAAAGUGACGGUACCUGCAGAAGAAGCACCGGCUAACUAUGUGCCAGCAGCCGCGGUAAUACAUAGGGUGCAAGCGUUGUCCGGAAUUAUUGGGCGUAAAGAGCUCGUAGGUGGUUCGUCACGUCGGAUGUGAAAAUCUGGGGCUUAACCCCAGACCUGCAUUCGAUACGGGCGAGCUUGAGUAUGGUAGGGGAGUCUGGAAUUCCUGGUGUAGCGGUGGAAUGCGCAGAUAUCAGGAGGAACACCAAUGGCGAAGGCAGGACUCUGGGCCAUUACUGACACUGAGGAGCGAAAGCGUGGGGAGCGAACAGGAUUAGGAUACCCUGGUAGUCCACGCCGUAAACGGUGGGCACUAGUUGUGGGGACCUUCCACGGUCUCUGCGACGCAGCUAACGCAUUAAGUGCCCCGCCUGGGGAGUACGAUCGCAAGAUUAAAACUCAAAAGGAAUUGACGG
rnacentral:rRNA from 1 species